GCCCUGGAAGCAGAGGCCACAAAAGGUGCAGGUAGCUGGGUAACUACCAGGGCUUCAGGUGGGGCGUGAGGGGGCUCCUGAGACAUUCUGGGGACUUGGGGGGUUCCUAGGCCUUCCUGGGAGCAUGGGGGAUCUUCUCCAGACAUGGGAGGCUCCUGAGGGCAUGGGGGGCUUCUGGACCUCCCUGGGGACAUAGGGGCCUCUUGGUGGCAUGAGGGACCUUUCUGGGGGAAUGAGGAGCUCCUGGGCACCUCUUAUCCCAGCAAAGUCCCUGGCAGGGCCGGUGUGCCAGCCCUAGGCUCUCCCUGGGUCUGGUGCUGACUCAGGUGGAGAAAGAAGAUCUGUCCUGGCAGGUACAGUUUAUCCCGUAGCCUCCCCGGGUGCCAUGGCGUCCCCCAGGACUGACAUACAGGCAGUGGUCAUGGAGAGGCACAGGAUGGGUGAAUGUCCUGUGUGGGAGGAGGCGACAGGACAGCUAGUUUAUGUGGACAUCCACGCGCAGACUGUGUGCCGCUGGAGCCCACACAGUGGGCAGGUGCAGGCAGUGAGCCUGGGACACCGCGUGGGCUGCGUGGCCCUGCGCGGCCGGAAAAAGGGCAGCUAUGUGGUGGCCGCUGGCACCUGCCUGGGCCUCCUGGACUGGGAUUCGCAGCAGGUGACAUGGGUGGCACAGCUGGACAGACACAGGCCACACAACCGGUUCAAUGAUGGCAAGGCUGACCCCGCGGGGAGGUUCGUGGCAGGCACCAUGCCCGAGCCCUCUGCACCCGAUGUGUGGGAGCCAGCCCAGGGCUCGCUGUACUCACUGCAGGGGAACCACUCGGUGCUAUGCCUGGCCGACCGGCUUGGCAUCCCCAACGGGCUGGACUGGUCUACUGACCACCGCACCUUCUACCACGUGGACAGCCUGGACUACGCGGUGCACGCAUAUGACUAUGACAUGCAGGCCGGCACCAUCAGUGAGCGCAGAGUCCACGCGGGACUCACUCCGGAGACAGGGAGGCAGACCUGGGGACAGACCGUGGGACUCAGGGAACAGAUCACAGAACUCGGGAGAACCGCCGACUUGUGUACCAGCUGCCGCGGGGUCGGGCCAUGCCCGACGGUCUGUGCGUGGACAGCGCAGGGACACUGUGGGUGGCCUGUAUCGAUGGCGGUAAGGUCAUCCAAGUGGACCCGCAGACAGGUGCGUGACGUCAGGAGCCAUACAGUCCUGGGAAAGGUCACGGUGUGUGGUCCAGUGCUUUGCAAGGUGUUUCUGGGCAUGAUGGGGUCACCUGCGUGGGUCUUUGGCGUGGCAGCGUCAUUGUGUGUGAACCCUGGGCGUGGCAGGGUCAGGGUGCAAGGUUCAGAUAGGACGCGUCCUACCCUCCAUCCUGAGUGGGAGUGUAGGGUGAGGACGUCAGGGUUACAAGCCCCCACGGACCUGGUAGGGUCCUUCCUUCCUGUCUGAUGAGCUCCAGGGGCUCGAGAUGUCCUAGGCUCCUGUCUGCCCGCACCGUGAACCUGUCUGCUUCUGUCUGCGCACCUUGGACCUGCCAGUGUCCAGGGUCACUUCCUGCUGCUUCGGGGGCCCCGACUAUGCGGAACUGUACGUGACUUCGGCGGCCGACGGGCUGAGCCCUGAGCAGCUGCAGCAGGAGCCCCAGGC